rnacentral:miRNA from 1 species
GUUUGAGAAAAUGGGGUAUUGGGGAGAGAAGGGGAAAUUGGGAGAAGAAGGCUAGGGUUCUGAAAAUCUGUGGUGGGGUUUGGAUUUGGGAGAAUCUAUAGUGUCAAACACCCCCUAGCAUUUUUCUCCCAAUUUCCCCUUCUCUCCCAAAUAUCCCAUUUUCUCAAACU